rnacentral:rRNA from 1 species
UACGGAGGGGGCUAGCGUUGUUCGGAAUUACUGGGCGAAAAGCGCACGUAGGCGGAUCGUUAAGUCGGGUGUGAAAUCCCAGGGCUCAACCCUGGAACUGCCUUCGAUACUGGCGAUCUGGAGGUCGAGAGAGGCGAGUGGAAUGCCGAGUGUAGAGGUGGAAUUCGUGGAUAUUAGGCGGAGCACCAGUGGCGAAGGCGGCUCGGUGGUCCGAUACUGACGCUCAGGUGCGACUGCGUGGGGAGCACACAGU